rnacentral:tRNA from 1 species
CGGGCUGUAGUGUAACGGCUAACAUUCCCGCUUUGGGAGCGGGCGAUUCCGGGUUCGAAUCCCGGCGGCCCGA